UACCUAAGCCCGUCUGACCCUUUACCAAAAUCUCUCUCUCUCUCUAUCUCUUUCUCUCUCUGAGAUCGGAGCCAGUCAUGUCCGACGAGGACAGACGGUUUGCUGCGCUGGAGGUCCAGAAAAAUCUCUUAUCUCGGCGAAUCCGUUCGCAUGUUGUUAUGGACUGAGGAGUACAAUCCAUGUUGAAUAAUGCAGCAAUUUGAAUCGCCAAGUGGACGUUCCUAUGGAUUAAUGGGAGAACUGAACUAUAUGCAGGAGGAAGAUAUUCGGCUAGAGGCAACACGAUCUAGAUCGUCGAAUGCUUUGUAGUGGCAGCGUCGAAUGCUUAGAAAAGACACGGUGAUUUAGCCGAGCGUAUGUCUAGGUGAAACUUAAUUGGAAAUUUUUAAGUCUUCAUUCAUCAUGUAUUUUUGGUUAUGUAUAAUGAUAGUUUGCAUUUUUUGGAGCUGUCAUUACUUGGCAGUACACUAAUGCUGGCUGCAAAAAGAAUUCAAAUUGAAGACCUCGGAAGUCGGAAGUUGUACUUCUUGACCUCAAGGUUAUUAAGAAGUUUUGUACAUCAUUUUCAAGAGGAUGCAUUCAUUGAAAUAGGAGAAAAAUGUUGUGCAGUAGUGGAAGAAGUCAAUGGCUUUAAUAAAUUAUCUUGUAUUACCAACAUCUAUAUAUACAUAUACAAUUAUGCAUCUAGUGGACUGUAUUGAUUUAACAGGGAUUCUGACAAUGACAAUUUACGAGCAUCUACAUAAGGGAUUUGAAGCUGCACAGGCUUUUCAAACUCCAGGUAGCUCUGAAUAGAUUUUAUGCUGAAUGCUUCAUUUUAAAGGUACAGUUGCAUCUAGCUUUCGGUCAUCAUGGUAAGUUUUUCUUUAUUUGCUUCAGUGGUUUCUAAAUGCAUUUGGAGGUAAAUUCUUGGGUGUGGAAACUAUACCCCAAUGUUGUUGCGGUAAUCAUCUUUUCAACUCUAUAUCUUUGGAGUUUAGUUUUCUUUGUUGCUAUUGAUUUGAUUUUGUUAUUUGUAGUGGAUUGAGUUCUGAAUUUUUAUUUUUUUUAUUUUUUAUUACUUGUUGGUUUAUGUGUAGACAAAAGCUGCUGCUCCUGUGUAUGUCUAUGUGAAGUUUUUAGCUUUUUACUGUUAUGCUUAUGUUGUUUUUUCUAAAUUUGAUUCUGAUAUAGUUUUGAGAUCACAGGUUUUGGAGAUGGUAACUGUGUGGUAGUCAAUGUUAAGAAUCUAUGGUUGUAUGAUUUCUAGAGUAGCAUUGAGAUAGAAUUUACAUCUGAGUGCUAUUUUCAGUGUAGUGUCUGAAACUUUCAGUGUAAAAUAAAUUUAUUGAAUUAAAAGCUUAAGUUGGGGGUUUCAUGGACUUGCUUAAUCAAAGUGAAUUGAUAGUUAGAAUCAGGUAUUAGAGGACAAAUGGUAACUCUAAUAGUAAAAUACUACUGUAUGUAAGCUAAUAUCACAUUGUAGUUGUAUUUCCUAGUUAGUAUACUACUUAGUAUGCUAAGCUGAUCAUUUUUUUAAGUUGCGUGAAGAUAUACAUUGCUAUAUUCAUGUAUUGUAUUGAUAAUUUUCAAGUUGACUUUAUACUUUUAGAUAUGUAUUGUAUUCAUGAUUGAGUUUACUGCCUUACUUUUGUUUUCCCCUUUCCAUUGAAUUUGCUUGUAAGCAUUACCACGCAUUUUUACCACCUGAAUUGUCACUGUGGCAUGCUGUAAUGUUUGUUGUGAGAUUGAUGAGUAGCUUAUAAGUUAAACUAAUAUUAUGUAUGCCAAACAGAUAUGCGUCUACAUAAAACUAUGCCCAGUAUCAUAAAAGAUAUUUCUUUGGCCUUGAUUCAUGGUGAUAUGGUUCCUCUGAAAUUUACUGAGGAUAAAACUAAUAAGUUAUGCAUUCUUUUUCCAGGCACGAACUUCUUCUUUUUGAAGCCUUAUGAGAAGAAUUAGAAGAAGAGAUGGCUAGGGAUCCCACUGUAUGUGUAAUGGGUGAAGAUGUGGGUCGCUAUAGAGGAUCGUACAAGGUGCCUGGCUGAUAAGGAUGGGGAUCUCAGGGUUCUUGAUACUCUAAGCACAUUUGAAAUGAAACUUGGAUUGUUAAUUAUGUAUUCUUCUGUUUGGUUUCUCUGAACUUUCAAUUUGUACUCGCUACCAAGAUAUACAAUUGCUCGCGCCAUUGAUGUUUUAAUAACAAAAGGCGCUAAUUCUAUGCCAGAACAUAA